GACAGAGGGUGCAAACGUUGUUCGGAUUUACUGGGCGUAAAGCGCGUGUAGGCGGCUUUGCAAAGUCGGAUGUGAAAGCCCACGGCUCAACCCAGGAAGUGCAUUCGAAACUGCAGAGCUGGAGUCCUGGAGAGGAAGGCGGAAUUCUCGGUGUAGAGGUGAAAUUCGUAGAUAUCGAGAGGAACACCGGUGGCGAAGGCGGCCUUCUGGACUGUUUCUGACACUGAAAAACGAAAGCCAGGGGUAGCAAACGGGGA
rnacentral:rRNA from 1 species